GCUCAGGAUGAACGCUAGCUACAGGCUUAACACAUGCAAGUCGAGGGGUAGCAGGGUAGCAAUACCGCUGACGACCGGCGCACGGGUGAGUAACACGUAUCCAACCUUCCCAUAACUCGGGGAUAGCCUUUCGAAAGAAAGAUUAAUACCCGAUAGUACUUAUAUAAGGCAUCUUAAAUAAGUUAAAGAUUUAUUGGUUAUGGAUGGGGAUGCGUUCCAUUAGAUAGUUGGUGAGGUAACGGCUCACCAAGUCUUCGAUGGAUAGGGGUUCUGAGAGGAAGGUCCCCCACAUUGGUACUGAGACACGGACCAAACUCCUACGGGAGGCAGCAGUGAGGAAUAUUGGUCAAUGGGCGAGAGCCUGAACCAGCCA
rnacentral:rRNA from 1 species